rnacentral:rRNA from 3 species
UUGACCUCGGAUCAGGUAGGAAUACCCGCUGAACUUAAGCAUAUCAAAAGGCCGGAGGAAA